UCUUGCAUCUGCUCAACCCCCUGGCCUUCUCCAUCACGAGCGCCUGCCUCCACCUUCCCCCAUGCCGCCAGCCGCCACCUCCCUCCCUCGCGCUGCCGGACGCCGCCUCCCUCCCCCGCGCCACCGGACGACGCCUCCCUCCCCCGCGUCGCCGGAUGCCGCCUCCCUCCCCUGUGCCGCCGGACGCCACCUUCCUCCCCCGCGCCGCCGAACGCGGCCUCCCUCUCCCAUGCCGCCGGACGCCGCCUCUCUCCCCGCCCCGCUGGACGCCGGCGCCACCACGACCACCCUCCCCGACGGGCCGUCUCCACGACCACCCUCCCCGAUGCGGCGCCGCCACACCCCCUCCCCCAGCGUGUCGCCGCCACGACCUCCCUCCCCAGCGCGCGUCGUCCGGCCCUCUUCCCCACCGCGUGCAGGCAGUUGAACGUGCGACCACAAGCCGUUCAAUGUCUCCGCCGUGGACACGCCCCUCUACCUCCUUCUGGUUGCCUCUCAUCCCGGUGUGGCCAUGGCGUUGGGUUCGCCGCCACUGCGACCAGCAGUCCAACCCGGCCGCCCCAGGCCGUUCACUCGUCGCAGCUCCCAGCUAAUGUCAAAUCUAGUUUCGCUUGAGGCAGGGACAAAGAAGUGAGCAAAAGGAGAAAUUGAUCAAUUGCUCAUUAUGCAGUGGUGGUUUUCCUAUCCACAUGUUGACACAACAAAUCAUCAAAAUGGGUGGCGGAGAACCAGUAAGUGCUACUACUGGUGUACGCCAAGUUCAAGGAUUUGCCCAUGCUCGAGCAUCCACUGGCUCCGACCUCCACCCGUUGCUGCACGCCUGGGAUCCGCAACCUCCGACCUCACACGUGGACCUCAGUUGGCUUCUCUGUCCCGAGUGCCGCCGCCGGCCUCCCUGCAGCAUGGCUUCGGUUCCAACCAUCUCUACGAGGCUACCCUAUUCCUUCGCUGGACUACGAGCUAGCAUCCGAAUCGCCGCACUGCCCAGCUGCCACACUCCUCCAGCCACCAUCCGGCAGCGCGCGGCGCUCCAAGCACGUCCUCCAGAUGCCCCCUCCUCUUGCCUACUCCUUGCGAAGCACCCGACCGUCUCCCUCCUGCCCCGUCCGCCUAGGUUUAGUACUCACACCAGUUCAAGUAGUGAUGUUGCAACAAGUACAGCUCCUCCCCUGUCAAGCUUACUGAGCCAAAAAAGAGCAUCUUCAUGACUGAUUGCUAGCUCGCUUCAUCAUCGGCUGAUUUUCCCGUCUACUAGGUUGUUUUUUCGAUAAAGGACUUUUGAUUGAAUAGAUAUAUCGAGGUGAUACGAUCGCAUCGAAAGAAAGCCCGACCUCUGCCUAGCUAGAUGCACACAGCCAAAAAGUCGAGAGUGCCCUAAGAAUAAUAAAAAUAAUUCGGUACAAAGCGAAGCAAAUAAAUUGUCGAGGCUAAGGUGCGGUAGAUCCUAUCCGUAGAUCACACCGCCAUCCAUGGGGGUAGAAAACCUCCCUGGCCGAAUGCUCCAGCCGUGUAGACGCCAUCAUAAAAAGGUCCCUGUCCUCCGGCCUCUGCAGGAUAGACCAAGUACGGAGCCAUCGUGUACAAACAUGAAUAACCUGGAUAGGAGAUGAGACACAUUUGUUAUUGAAGAUCACAUCAUUCCUGGUAAGCAACAAUGCCCAGCAUAAGGCCGCCGCUCCCACAAGAAUAUGUGCAGAAAAUUGUUUAUCAAUACGUGGUGGGUAUAAAUUAGAAGCUACCUGAACUAUGGCCCAAACUGCCCGAGCGAAUUUGCACUCGAAAAAUAAGUGUCUAAUAGUCUCGUCAUGUUGGCAAAAGACACAUGUCUUAGAACCAUGCCAGUUUCGUCGUGCCAAAUUAUCUCUAGUUAGAAUGACUCCUCUAUGUAAAAACCAGAGGAAAAUCUUCACUCUUAGAGGAAUUUUGAGCUUCCACAAUUUCCUGUUAUCAACUGGAACAUCACAAUGAACCAUUGCAUCAUACAUGGAUUUGACAGAAAAUUUGCCAUUCUGAUGCAAGUUCCAUCGAAAGACGUCCGGCUCACCUGACAGUUGAAUGUCCUCCAGACGAGUGAGUAAUUCAUUCCAUGCUGCCAGGCGAGGGCCAAGAAGGUCCCUACGGAAAGAAAUAUCAGGGUUUUGUUGUCCUAAAACUUGUUUGAUCGUGACAAAUUUAUGUCUGACAAUCCUGUACAAGCUCGGAUAUUGCACCAUUAGUGGGUUGUUCCCUAGCCAGGUGUCUUCCCAGAAUCGAACCUGAGAAACAUCCCUAACCGAGAAGGUCCCGAAUUGGAAAAAGAAUUCCUUGGCCUUCAUCACGCCACUCCAAAAAUGCGAAUCCCCGGGUUUCCAAUGAACUUGAGAAAUGGCAUUGGAUCCCACAUACUUGUUGCGAAUGAUUUCCUGCCAUACCCCAUUCUCAGAGAGUAAUUUGUAAACCCACUUGCUGAGAAGAGCAAUAUUUUUAUCUCAAGGUCUUGAAUUCCCAGCCCCCAUUGACUCUUAGGUCUGCAUAAUACGCUCCACCUAGCCAGUCGAUAUUUCUUGGAUUCAUUAUUGCACUGCCAAAAAAAUCUGGAUCUAAAGUAGUCUAGUCGCUGGAGAACCCCUUUCGGUAGGUGGAAGAAUGACAACAUAUAUAGAACCAUGUUGCUUAGGACAGAAUUGAUCAAGAUCAAACGUCCCCCGUAAGACAAGAGUUUGGCCUUCCAACUGGCUAGACGUUUCUCAAGUCUCUCUUCCACAUACUUCCACUCAGCGAUAGUUAAACGCCGAUAGUGUAUAGGAAUACCCAGAUAUUGAAUCGGAAACUGCCCGAGCUGACAUACAAAAAUCUCAGCAUACUCAGGUGCUGAUUCUGCAGCAUCACCAAAGUAAAAGAGUUCGCUCUUAUGAAAAUUGAUUUUGAGACCAGAAAGUUCCUCAAAAGCACAUAAGAGCAACUUGAGAUUUCUUGCCUUGUCUAGAUCGUGAUCCAAGAAAAGGAUAGUGUCAUCCGCAUAUUGUAGAAUAGAUAGUCCAUCUUCUACCAAGUGUGGAAUCACACCACUGAUUUGACCGUCCAGCUUAGCCCGCUCAACAAGGGUAGCUAGCAUGUCGGCCACAAUAUUAAACAAAAUAGGAGAGGCGGGGUCCCCUUGGCAAAGCCCCUUCCUUGUCUGAAAAUAGUUGCCAACGUCAUCAUUAACUUUUAUGGCCACACUGCCUCCAGAAACAAAGCUCUCUACCCAACGACACCAUUUUGGUGAAAACCCCUUCAUGCGCAAAGUUUGCAACAGAAAGGGACACUUAACUUUAUCGUAGGCUUUUUCAAAAUCUAUUUUAAGAAUGACACCAUUCAACUUUUUCCGGUGAAACUCAUGUACAGUUUCGUGCAGAACGACCACUCCAUCUAAUAUGUUGCGGCCUUGCAUAAAUGCUGUUUGAGUGGGCUUUACGACAUGGUCAGCCACCCCGUUCAACCGAUUAGUAGCGACCUUCGUAAAGAUUUUAAAACUUACAUUCAGAAGGCAAAUCGGUCAAUAUUGUUGAAUACGAUUAGCCUUCUUAAUCUUGGGCAAUAGGAUAAUUUCCCCAAAGUUUAAACGAGAAAUAUCAAGGUCUUCGGUAUGCAGUUGGUGAAACAACGGAACCAAGUCUGCCUUAAUCACGUCCCAAAAACAUUGAUAGAACUCUGCGGGAAAGCCAUCCGGGCCCGGAGCUUUGUUGUGUUCCAUUUGGAACACAGCGGUUCGAAUUUCCUCCUCAGAGAACGGGGAGGUUAGGAAUUCAUUUUCCGCUUCCAUAACUUGAGGGAUGUCAUGAGUAACAGAUUCAUCCAGCUGAAAAUUUGUUUCAGCUGAAGGUCCAAAAAGCUCCUUGUAAUACUUGGUAAUGAAAGUUCUAAGUGGUGCGUCCCCCUCAAUUCGGCCUUCCUCCUAGUCAAGGGCGAAUAUGCGUUUCUUUCUAUGUCUGCCAUUGGCAAGCAUUUGAAAGUAUUUCAUAUUAUCAUCACCUUGCACAAGCGAAUCCGCCUUGCAACGUUGGUACCAUUUAAUCUCUUCCUCGUGUAAUAGGCGGGCAAUCUGCUCAUUUAGAUUUCUUUUUUGCUCAAUCUCAACAGCAGUCAGAGGCCUGACCUCCGCUAUUUUAUCAAGGGAAUCGAUUAAGGUAGAUAGUCGCAGUUUUUCUUUUUUGUAAAUGCCAGCAGUAUGCUUGGCCCAUCCAAAAAGGAAUCGGCGCAAGGCGCGAAUUCGAUUGUUCCAUCGUUGAAUGGGCGUGUUACCAUGAGGUUGGCGCGCCCACACUUUCUUAACAAGGUCAUGAAAUCCCUCUCUAGUGAGCCAACCCAGUUCAAAUUUAAACUGGUGACGGUUAGAACGUGGGAUUGGUUGUCCAAAAUCGGUUAGCAAAGGAGCGUGAUCCGAUAAGGCCUCAAUACGUUCUAGAGCCCGAACCGAUGCUAGGGGGUAUUUAUAUUCCCAGUCGGUGGUAACUAGCACUCGGUCAAGUUUUUUAAAUGUUGGCACUGAUCGGUUAUUGGCCCAGGUAUACUGACGGCCAGACAUCGUGAUCUCCCUCAGAUCCAGGCUGUCAAUAACAACAUUAAAGAGGAAAGGCCACCUAGUGUCAAACCGGUCAUUGUUUUUUUCCUGCUCAUAUCGAAGGAUAUUAAAAUCCCCCCAAAUAAACAUGGGGUGAGGAUUGUCUCGACAGGUAUUAACAAGUUCUUUUAGAAAUGCAGACUUAAACUCCUCUUGAGCGGCGCCAUAUACAGCCACCAAACUCCAAAGGAAGUUGUCGGACUUGUUUCGAAGGUGGAAUUUAAUAUGAUAAUCCCCCUUUGACGUGGACAAUAGUUACAAGUAAGUAGAGUUAAUACCUAGCAAUAUUCCACUGGACCUCCCGGUCGGCGGCAGUACGUGCCAUUCGUAGUCCAAACCACUUGAAAAGUGGUCGAGAGUACGUGUUGGAAAAUCACGUUUGCCCGACUCGGUGAUAGCUACAAAGUCCAACACAUGAUCCUUUACGCAAUCGGCAAUGUGUUUGUGUUUAGCCAAGUCACCAAGACCUCUGCUAUUCCAAAACAUGCCUCUCAUGCUGAACCAAUUUUUUGUUUAGAGACCUUCGCCUUCUUAGAAGAGCGCCCUCUUUUCUUUGCUGAGUUAGACUUAUUCUUGCGCACCGACGCGACAAGCUCACAAAGCGUAGUGUCGCGUACAGUAUCGUCAAGGUCUACUAAUUCCUUCUAUCCUUUUGUUGUAUCUUUAUUUGGAGAUUUAUAUUUUAAGCCAUUGCCGCUUUUACCUCUAGUUAGUAGAGAUGCACAGCAAGUAUUCGUUGGAAUGCCGCUGACAAACUUUUUAUGGAGUUAUAAAAAGGUUGUAGGAAUUACUCGAUGGAUUUUACUGUGUGCUUCUGAUUCUUGAGGAAAAUGUUCUUUUUCUGAAUUUUCAUUUUCACAAGCGUGAUGCAUGUGGUAUUCAAUUGAUGCAUUUUGAACUACUAGCUCGCUUGAUACAUAUGAUGCGGUCCUAAACUAUUGUAUGAUCCAAUCUUUUUAUGUACGAGCGAAAAACUAAAAAAUAUGUAGAAGCUUUUGUGUUUCUGUAUUUAUUUGUACAGUGAUAGAUGGAUGGGUUGUUCUUCCUUUUGUUGUAUAGUGAUGCUAAUCAGACACCAUUUUUCUAACUCCAGAAAAGAGUGCUUAGGCCUUAGGCGUGGAGGCUAGUUCAUGUCUUGUUGUUACAUACUUGCAACAUUAUUUAGUUGUGUUCACAAGUAGGAAAGUUGGCAUUCGUGAAUUUAGACAAAAAAAUAUGUUCUGCCACUACACUUUUCAUGCCCGACAGUUCAGGGAAAAUAGCUAACAAUGUCUCUGCUAGAUCGGACUCUAUAUAUUCACGACACUUUACUACUAUGGUAAGUAUAUUUAAACUGAUGUAUUUCUUCUAGAUAAUGAGCUUUUUGUAGUAUGGAGAGUACAAGCUGGCGCUGCUGAAUUCAGUAGAAGCUAGUUUGUAUAAGUUGAAUUUUGAACAUAUGUUGAACACGUACAUGUUUACAUGCAUUUCUAGAGUGCUAAUGUGCUAUGACUUCGUUGUUGCAGGGGAUCUUGGGAAGCACUUAAACAAUCGGCCCAUCUGCUUUCCGCCGUCAUGAACACCGCCGUGGCGCUGCCCAUUGCUCUCAGUGGUCGUUCUUCCUCUUGUGUGGCCUUCUUCCCCUGGCAACUGCUGGCUCGUUGGCCGUCCUUCUUCUCCAUCUAUUGAAGUUCAUCCUUUUUAAUUGGCAACGUGUGUACAGCAGCAACGGCGGAUGAUCUAUCUCCCAUGCCUCCGUCCUCAAUCUCGCUGGUUUCUCUAUUUUAUGUUACGAUGGUAGUGACAUUGGAGAAGAAAGGUGUGUCGAGGUACAAAUCUUGAGUUUUUUGAGGUUCAAUGCAUUGCUGCUGAAAGCAGCAUCCAGGACGACCUCGACCUACUGCCACUAGCUGUUGGUGCACCUCCUGUUAGCUCCUAGCUAUUACCUAGUGUUCUUAAUGCUACCUCUACAAAGAAGGUGCUCGCGUGUUGGGGUGUUGCAUCUCUGGCGAGGUCGCUGUAAUGCACCAGCUCCACCACACUAAACUCAUCUUUUGUUUAUCUUCUGUAUGACCUAUAGGAGUUCUCAGGUGGCGCUUCAACAAAAUUUGUUGUAAGUUUCUUUCUCGUAGAUUUUUAUUCAAUAUAUUUCUUGCUGAAAUAUGAAGUUCAAAAACAUCAUCGGGGCAGGUUCAUGGAUCGUCACACUCUUGAUCACGGUUCGGUUUGUGUGUGUUACUCCACAAUAUAUAAUUUUCUGUUUAAUUCUUAUUUUAGUUAAGUUCAAUAUAUAAUUUUAGUUUAGUUCAAUAUCUUGAGUAUCACCUUUUUCUGCCAUGAACUCAUGCUAUAAUGUGGGCAUCUAAGUUCACUCUGAAUAUGUUGAUACUAAACAAGAAGUUGGCUCUGAACUCUCAUAUUCGUCUUAACAAUUGACAGGUCUGAAUAUGUUGCCACCGCCGUGCUGAUUUCCUGUCGCGACCUUGUUGAUUCCCCGCCUUCGAACUGACCACCGCCGACUGUGGGCUGCACCUUCCACGCGCAUCCAUGUGACCAUGUAGAUGCACGUCUUCAUUGAGUCGCUCACAGCGCAUAUGUGUGUCUUGUGUUCGUGUGUGCGUGGUCGCGGCUAUGCUUGGCGUUUCGGCGUUGUCUGUGUGUGGUCUUGCGGGCGUCUCACCUCAAACGCAUCCCAGGACGGUGCACGAGUUGCUGAGGAAACGCCCAAGCCUGUGGCCUCUCGACCACAACUUCGUCUCAUGGAAGCUGUUGGAUGUGGACAGCCAGUACGAAUUCAAGUCUAAGUGGCUCAUCAAGGAGGAAAAGAAGAGGAACUCGAGUGGUUUCUCUAUGGAGAAGGGCAGAAGACAUUUUGCUCUGAACAUACUUGUUGAUAUGCCCAUGAGAAUGGGUACAUUUUUCUACAGAUUUUUGUGUUGCUGACGAGGGCUACACAACUUGUAUUUCUACCAGUUGAACUUAAGUGUGUCCUCUAUAAAGUUCGUGGAUGUGUGGAUGUUCUUUUGACAUUGAACUGUCAAGUGCUUGCAAAAUCUGAAGUGUUGAUCCAUCAGCA